UUUGGGUUCCGGGGGAAGUAUGGUUGCAAAGCUGAAACUUAAAGGAAUUGACGGAAGGGCACCACCAGGAGUGGAGCCUGCGGCUUAAUUUGACUCAACACGGGAAACCUCACCAGGCCCGGACACUGGAAGGAUUGACAGAUUGAGAGCUCUUUCUUGAUUCGGUGGGUGGUGGUGCAUGGCCGUUCUUAGUUGGUGGAGCGAUUUGUCUGGUUAAUUCCGAUAACGAACGAGACUCUAGCCUGCUAAAUAGGCGACGGGUUUUAUCCGUCCGUCGCUCUUCUUAGAGGGACAAGCGGCGUCCAGCCGCAUGACAAAGAGCAAUAACAGGUCUGUGAUGCCCUUAGAUGUCCUGGGCCGCACGCGCGCUACACUGAAGGAAUCAGCGUGUUUUCCCUGUCCGAAAGGACCGGGUAACCGCUGAACCUCCUUCGUGGUUGGGAUUGGGGACUGCAAUGAUCCCCAUGAACCAGGAAUCCCUAGUAGGCGCAAGUCACUAGCUUGCGUCGAUUACGUCCCUGCCCUUUGUACACACCGCCCGUCGCUACUACCGAUUGAAUGAUUUAGUGAGGCCUUCGGACGGACUCGCCGGGCGGAGCUUCCGCUUCGCUCCGGCGGGACUGAAAGAUGGUCGAAACUUAAC
rnacentral:rRNA from 1 species